rnacentral:rRNA from 1 species
UGGGGAAUAUUGGACAAUGGGCGCAAGCCUGAUCCAGCCAUGCCGCGUGAGUGAUGAAGGCCCUAGGGUUGUAAAGCUCUUUCACCGGUGAAGAUAAUGACGGUAACCGGAGAAGAAGCCCCGGCUAACUUCGUGCCAGCAGCCGCGGUAAUACGAAGGGGGCUAGCGUUGUUCGGAUUUACUGGGCGUAAAGCGCACGUAGGCGGACUAUUAAGUCAGGGGUGAAAUCCCGGGGCUCAACCCCGGAACUGCCUUUGAUACUGGUAGUCUUGAGUUCGAGAGAGGUGAGUGGAAUUCCGAGUGUAGAGGUGAAAUUCGUAGAUAUUAGGAGGAAUACCGGUGGCGAAGGCGACUUUCUGGACUUUUACUGACGCUCAGGUACGAAAGCGUGGGGAGCAAACAGG